UAACGCGUGGGAACGUACCCUUCACUACGGAAUAGUCCCGGGAAACUGGGUUUAAUACCGUAUACGCCCUUCGGGGGAAAGAAUUUCGGUGAGGGAUCGGCCCGCGUUAGAUUAGUUAGUUGGUGGGGUAAUGGCCUACCAAGACUACGAUCUAUAGCUGGUUUGAGAGGAUGAUCAGCAACACUGGGACUGAGACACGGCCCAGACUCCUACGGGAGGCAGCAGUGGGGAAUCUUAGACAAUGGGGGCAACCCUGAUCUAGCGAUGCCGCGUGAGUGAUGAAGGCCUUAGGGUCGUAAAGCUCUUUCGCCUGUGAUGAUAAUGACAGUAGCAGGUAAAGAAACCCCGGCUAACUCCGUGCCAGCAGCCGCGGUAAUACGGAGGGGGUUAGCGUUGUUCGGAAUUACUGGGCGUAAAGCGCACGUAGGCGGAUUAGUCAGUCAGAGGUGAAAUCCCAGGGCUCAACCCUGGAACUGCCUUUGAUACUGCUAGUCUUGAGUUCGAGAGAGGUAAGUGGAAUUCCGAGUGUAGAGGUGAAAUUCGUAGAUAUU
rnacentral:rRNA from 1 species